AAGGGGCAGGGACGGGUGGCCC
rnacentral:miRNA from 1 species